UUCGCCUCAUAUGUAAACAAACCAGGGCUGGGUGAGGUGAGGACAAGGCGGCAAGGUGGCCAGUGUCCCGCCAGUCAGCAAGGGGGAAGGGUGCGCCGCGCCUCGCUCCGGCCUGGCCCUCCCUCUCUGCUUCUGCCUGAGAUAGAUCAUUGCUUUCACACAAGUGAACAAAAGGAUAAAAAAAAAUAAAGUGAAGGAAAGAAAAUAGAAAGGAAAAAAAAAAAGACGUUAA